CAGCCGCCGCGGUAACACGGAGGGUGCAAGCGUUAAUCGGAAUUACUGGGCGUAAAGCGCACGCAGGCGGUCUGACAAGUCAGAUGUGAAAUCCCCGGGCUUAACCUGGGAACUGCAUUUGAAACUGUCAGGCUGGAGUCUUGUAGAGGGGGGUGGAAUUCCAGGUGUAGUGGUGAAAUGCGUAGAGAUCUGGAGGAAUACCGGUGGCGAAGGCGGCCCCCUGGACAAAGACUGACGCUCAGGUGCGAAAGCGUGGGGAGCAAACAGGAUUAGAUACCCCGGUAGUCCCUGUCUCUUAUAC
rnacentral:rRNA from 1 species